UUCAGAUAAUGGCAAACCUAUCGAAAGAUAGGGACGCAAAGCUAAAGGGCCUUCCAGAUCGGGUGGCAGCCAGUUACCGGA
rnacentral:ncRNA from 1 species